AUGGACCAUGAGAUUCCAUACAAUAGGUCCUAUGUGUGGGACUCGAAGGAUGAAGGCCCGGAUGAAGAAAUAGAUGAGGAUGGUUUGACGGCUAAAGAAGCCAAUGCUUUCAAGAAGGUAAUAGGUCGUAGUCACAAGACAUCAUUGUUUCGUGAUCUAAGCCUAGCCGAUAAGGCGAUUGUUGAUGGUGGCACAAGUAAAAUUCUUGCACCAAGGUUAACUUCAAAGCGAGAUACGAAAGCAAGUGUGCAUGGUGUUAGUGAAGGAACAAUCUUUGAAAGCUUGGUAGAACUCCAAAUAUGGGCCAAGGACUAUGCGGUUAAGUUUCAUCGGCCAUUCUUUGUGGAGAAGUCAAACUCGAAAGUGCGUUAUGUGGUCAAAUGUGAGGAACACAAGAAUCAUUGCCCUUGGGUUAUCCGUGCAAGAUGUGUCAAAGGCGGGCCACAAUGGAAGAUUACAAGUUCCGUGUUUCACCAUCAAUGUAGUGGCAAGGAUAUUGAUGAUGCUAAUGUAAAUGAUGAUCACUGUCAAUUGACCUCCAAAUUCAUUGCAUAUCGAUUUUCAGCCUCCAUAAAGAUACUCCCGACAUAUCCCAUUCGGGCUUUGAUGGAGAUGGUGAAGGAGGUUUUUGGGUACGAGGUGAAGUAUGGGAAGGCAUGGAGGCCAAGCAAGAUGCCUUUGAGAUAUUUUAUGGUGGUUGGGAAGAAUCAUACAACUGCCUCACGAUGGUGUUGA
rnacentral:rRNA from 1 species